GAAUAGCAUAUUGAAAGGUAUAAGUGACCAAACUGCUCUAUUUUGAACAAACGCGUUUCAUUUCAGUUUUAUGGUAUGCCAACAUUAGCUGAUAUAUAACACAUGUAAGAGAAGGUCAGGAAAGUUAUUUCAUUGUGAUUUUAAAUAAACACCACCUGAGUGAGGAAACAAGUUUUGAGAAUCGAUGGACAUCUCACUUAGAACUGCUGCCCUCUGUUCGGCGCUACCAAGCAUCAGUUCUAUAAGACACAAGAACAGCCUUUUUUCUCUUAAAACUUAAAACCAGUAAUUAACUCACUUUUUAUUUAAGUGAACACGUACAACAUGCAAUACAUACUUUUUUCUAUUUAUUAAAAUGCAGAAAAUUUCUAUGCAUUUCCCCCAUGAACAUAUCUGUAUAUAAGAUCUCACCCUGACAGUACAUUGUGUACAAAAUCUUUUUGCUUUGAUACACUAUAUUUAACUUAGAAGCUUCUGCCACCAAAACGAAUUCAUUGUGUGUGAGCACACUUGGCAAUAAAGCCCUUUAAUGAUUCUAGUGUACAUCACCACCAUUGGUAUUAAUGCUGAAACGAUUACGAUUCCUCGAGUAAUUAGAAAACAAACAAAAAAGAAUCGAAGCAGAUUAUUUGCCUUGAUGCUUCUUUUAGUCCCUUUAACUACACACGGAACACUGUUUCACUGCGGCCCAUUAUUACUGAUACACCACCCACAAAACAAAACAGCGAGGGGCGAGAAGAUUUAUAUCCACCGCAUUAAAAAAAGUUUGCCUAAUUCCGACCUUUUUUAUUUAGCCAAUUGGGCAGCGUCACCCCUCUGUGCCAUAAAGAUUUACACAUUAAAAAAAAUCGGCUGCAAUCAAUAAAAUCGCAUGGUAUCAAACUAAGCCUCUGAUCCCUGGAGGAAACUCUGUCUUACAAUCAGCUCUGGAGGAGACGGAAAAAGACAGAUGAAGCAGAGGAGCCGCGUUCAUACACCAACAGCUUCAAACUUGGUUUGACCCACAACACGGUUACUGGUGGAUGGAGCCACGUGGUCUCUGCAUGGGCACCAGCAGACGGAAGCCAGGUGAGGCUGCCUCUGACGCUGGGGCCAAACUGACUGGGGAGAGAUGGCAGGGCACCAAGGAGGAAGAAGAAGCAGUGGAAGGACUGCUGCUCUGAACAGAAGAGUACCCAGAACUAUUGUCCUGAUCUCCCUCAUAGCCUGAGCAGGAAGCAUCAAGACUAAGGUCUAGGAUGUCACCCACAAGGGUUUCCUCUUGAUUGGACAGCUCAGCUGUAGGCGUGGCUACAAAGCUGCCUCGAUGGGUAUGCAUGUUCUC